GUGAGUUUUGACAGUUGCAACUGUUUGUGAUCUGCUAAGUUUUUUAAUUUCAUAUGGAAAAUUUAAAUGAUUAGAUCUUACUACAAACAAAAUUAGAGCCACAAAUUCCUUGAUACGAAUCGAUAUAAAUAAUGUUGUGCUUGAUAGAGCAUUGACUAGAGAAAAACGAAGCCCACAACCAGAAUGUCAAGUCUCCAGCGUGCUUGGGAAUCAUCUGCAGCUGUCUUACUCUGCAAUCUUCCUGCGAAGAACAGAACUGAAACAAAAGAAGCUGAACCUAUAUAUAUAUAUAUAUAUAUAUAUAUAUAUAGAUGCACUCUAGAACAAGUCCAAACAGAAAGAAAGCACAAUACCUUGCUCUCAAAUUUCUCAACCAAAAUGCUUUCCACCAAGAGAAGCAGGGCAUCCUCUUCAAAUUCUUAUCAACUUUUAUCAUCAUCAUCUGCUGAUUUGAUAGCCAGCGAUGAUAACAUCUUG
rnacentral:lncRNA from 1 species